AGAUUGAACGCUGGCGGCAUGCCUAACACAUGCAAGUCGAACGGGAGUAGCAAUACUCUAGUGGCGGACGGGUGAGGAAUACGUAGGAAUUUGCCCUUAAGUGGGGGAUAACCCGGGGAAACCCGGAUUAAUACCGCAUGACCUCGAAAGAGCAAAGUGGGGGAUCGCAAGACCUCACGCUUUUGGAGAAGCCUACGUCGGAUUAGCUAGUUGGUGAGGUAAUGGCUCACCAAGGCGACGAUCCGUAACUGGUCUGAGAGGAUGAUCAGUCACACCGGAACUGAGACACGGUCCGGACUCCGUACGGGAGGCAGCAGUGGGGAAUAUUGGACAAGUGGGCGCAAGCCUAGGAUCCAGCAAGUGCCGCGUGUGUAGAAGAAGGCCGUUAGGUUAGUAAGGCUAACGUUUAAGGUUAGGGUAAAG
rnacentral:rRNA from 1 species